UUGCAGGUAAUGCAGUUCCAACCCCUUCAACGACAGCAGAGUGACCCAGACCACCUUCCUUGAGAAUUUCAGAGCUGCAGCCCACAGCCAGAGCCACGGUGGACUCAGCUCUCCACCCCGUGGUACAAAGGGUCAGGAAAGUGAAAUCAUGAGACUAUUACUGAUGUCAAAGGCAGAUCCACCUCAAGAAGGAGAUACUUAAGAAGCUCUCAGAGACAAAUAUGCCACUUCUGGAGCUGCUGAAGUCCGAGUCACGCCUGAGAAACACAGAUGCAGGAGAAGUCCCCUAAUAUAUUCAGAAUUGAUGCUAAUCCCCCAUAAAAUACAUAGUUUCCAACAUAAAAGUCAUCAGUGAUGCAAACCCACUUCACGUGCAGCACCCAACUGCACUGCACCACACAACGCUGUGACAUUGCAAACAUGAAGCUGAUGCUGAUUGCUCAAUGGUGCGGAAUGGCUGCCCAGGAGCCUCCAGCACCAUGGAACUG